GGGUGAGUAACAUAUCGGAACGUACCCAGUCGUGGGGGAUAACUAUCCGAAAGGAUAGCUAAUACCGCAUACGUCCUGAGGGAGAAAGCGGGGGACCGCAAGGCCUCGCGCGAUUGGAGCGGCCGAUAUCGGAUUAGCUAGUUGGUGAGGUAAAGGCUCACCAAGGCGACGAUCCGUAGCUGGUCUGAGAGGACGACCAGCCACACUGGAACUGAGACACGGUCCAGACUCCUACGGGAGGCAGCAGUGGGGAAUUUUGGACAAUGGGGGCAACCCUGAUCCAGCCAUUCCGCGUGAGUGAAGAAGGCCUUCGGGUUGUAAAGCUCUUUCAGCAGGAACGAAACGGUGGUCCCUAAUACGGACUACUAAUGACGGUACCUAAGAAG
rnacentral:rRNA from 1 species